rnacentral:rRNA from 1 species
UACAGAGGUCCCAAGCGUUACUGAGAAUCACUGGGUUUAAAGGGUGCGUAGGUGGUCCGUUAAGUCAGUUGUGAAAUCCCCGGGCUCAACCCGGGAACUGCUUCUGAUACUGGCGGACUUGAGGCCAGUAGGGGUCACUAGAACUGACGGUGGAGCAGUGAAAUGCGUAGAUAUCGUCAGGAAUGCCGGUGGUGAAGACGGGUGACUGGGCUGGUUCUGACACUGAGGCACGAAAGCGUGGGGAGCGAACGGG